rnacentral:lncRNA from 1 species
AACAUGUCGACAUGUAUCAUAACUAAUGCACAUAUAGAUAAUCAUACAGUAUCACAGGUAGUCCUACAGGUCUACCCGACAAGCAUAUCAACUAGCAUACAUCACUAACUCAAACUCAACGUAUCAAUAACUACUAGGAUAUCAAAUCCAAUGGGCCGGACUUGGUGCCUUAGACCCCUUAGUAUAAUGAGGAUAACUGAUGCGUGUAUGGGCUUGAUUUGGUAAGUAGGGUAGUGUUUAGGUAAAUUAAGAGAGAAUAGUAACCACAAAUGAUAUGUGAAUGGAAAGAAAUGGAUAGAUUAGUAACAACUCAAGACCUAUUAAGUUGUAUACCGGUGAAAACAAUCCAAGACCUAUUGGAUUGAGUUCGUAUCAAGUCAAGAACACGUCCUAACAAGAUAAUAUGUGAAUUAUAACAAUAAUUCCAAUUGAAUAAAGGUUUUUUCUUAAAAAUUCGUCUAUUCCUUUUUCCACGCAUAAACUUGGCUUUAUAUGAAGCCUUUAUUACAAAUUUGGUGGUUACAAGCCAACCAACCAAUUAUUCAUUAAAACUAGUAAAUGAAAAUUAAGGAAACUCUUGAAAUAACACAAAAAAAACGUCCAAGACACUUGAGGAUGAAGAAAAAACGUCUAUGCUUCAUUAAGGAGCCAUAAGAAGCAUUAAUGAGCCAUCAGAAGCAUUAAAGUGUAACCCUAAUGCACCAAAGAGUGAUAAAAACGGCUAGGAGGCUUUAUGAAGCAAAAAGUAACGUUUGUAGCACUUAUGAAUCCUUAAAAAUGUUGCCCUAGCCUUCAUGCAACCCUAAUUCAAUUUGUGGGUUACCAUGCAUAACCCAACCAUUGAGCCCAAGCCACCUUCUAGCCCACUAGUAAUCACUAAUCCAUCACCUUUUGGGCUUUCAUAAUCCAUGCAUGGAUCAUCCCCUCCCCCUUUGAAAGGAAUUGACCUCAAUUCAUCAAGUCCAUCAUCAUCAAGAUAAGGUGAAAGAUCUCCCACAUUAAAGGUAGCAUGCAUUCCAUGGUCUCCUCCCAAAUCCACAUUGUAACCAUUAUCAUUUUCAAAAUUUGUCACUUCCACACAUGUAUCAUUCCCUUCUUCUUCGAAAGGAAUAGUCCUCAAUUCAGUAAGAACCAAAUUUUGUUGUUCUCCCAUGCAAACCUUCCAUGACAAUAGGUCUUCAAAACAAUUUUUUAUUUUAGAAUGUAACAUUUUAUUUACUCCAAGCUGGUCUCUUCUCCACAUACACAUGUUCUUCAAACAACUCAAAGAACUCAUAGAAUUGAAUCCUAACCGUAUCUUCAAUUUGUGGAUCAAAAACCAUUUUCGUACCUUCCCAUGAACUCGACCCUGCAAAUUAACCUUGCAAUAAUUUAAAUGGUUAAUUGCAGUCAUUUUAACAAAUGGAACAUCAUUUGUAUUUGUAAGUUGAUGAGCAGCACGCCCCAAUAUCACGACUUCCCAAUUAAAGAGACACCAAAAGAAUAUCAGUCCAAACAUCACGAGCUCCCUCCUAUGUAAAUAAUUAGGACUUGUAUCUUCAUAUUUUCUCUUAGAAAGAUGGUUUGUAAAAAGAUGGAUACCAUCCUUCUUCUUUCGUUCCCAAUAAACUUCACGCCAUCGGUCUUGGUGUUUUUGAACAAUGAAUGAAGAAUUAACGAAAAUAUGUUUUGUUUGUGGACAACAUAGAAAAUUGGCAUAAGAAUUGCCACACAAUGCCUCUUUUGGUGACUGAUUGCUACCACCAUGAACACAUAUUGUUUUGGAAAUCAUCAUAUCGUCUUUUGGAGGGUACAAAAUUCUACCAUCAUCCAAAAAUAAUUCGUCUUCUUGUUUUUGAGCCACGAAUGAAAAGUCUUCAUCUCUAAUUGCACAAAACUUUUUAUCAAAAGUAAUACGCAAGUCAUUCUUCUCCUUUUGAUCAAUGAAUGAAGACAAAACAAAAACAUCAUUAUUAAGAUCAUAAUUAGUAAAAUCCAACCUCUCACCAUACUUCCUCCUCUCGUCAAGGUCUUCAAAAUGUAAAAUAUAAGCAUUCCAUGGUCUCCAAAGUGUAAACAUUUCCCACACUUUGAAACGAAAAUGAAGAUGAAAAAUGAAUAAACCUUCUUGAUCAAUGAAGCUUCCAAUUUGGAUUUCUUUAAGAUCUUUAGAAAAGAAAUUAUAUUCAUAAAAGAUAUGAGAACCUGAAUUUUUGUGGCACUUAUAGUCAUUUGUUCUCGUGGUUGUAAGCUCUUGGAAUGAAAUUUGUUGUUCAACAAAAAUCACAAUUUCUUCAACAAUUUUGCCCAUAUCAACAAAAUUGAUUUCUUCCACAAUUGCUUCAACAAAUUCAUCUCCGAUCACGAAAUUAGUUUCUUCUUCAAUUUCUUCAAUAAAUUCCUCUUCAACCAAGAAAUUUAUCCUUUCACAAAAUUCCCCUUCUCCAUCGGUGUCAUAGAUGGGACCAGAAUCUUAUACCUCCUCUUCUUCAUCAUAUAGCUUGCGCAACAUUUUUGGACAACAACUGAAUUCAGAACAAGAACUUAGUUACACCCAAUCGGAACUAGGCUCUGAUACCACUUAUGAUGCAUGUAUGGGCUUGAUUUGGUGAGUAGGGUAGUGUUUAGGUAAAUUAAGAGAGAAUAGUAACCACAAAUGAUAUAUGAAUGGAAAGAAAUGGAUAGAUUAGUAACAACUCAAGACCUAUUAAGUUGUAUACCGGUGAAAACAAUCCAAGACCUAUUGGAUUGAGUUCGUAUCAAGUCAAGAACACGUCCUAACAAGAUAAUUUGUGAAUUAUAACAAUAAUUCCAAUUGAACAAAGGUUUUUUUCUUAAAAAUUCGUCUAUUCCUUUUUCCAUGCAUAAACUUGGCUUUAUAUGAAGCCUUUAUUACAAAUUUGGUGGUUACAAGCCAACCAACCAAUUAUUCAUUAAAACUAGUAAAUGAAAAUUAAGGAAACUCUUGAAAUAACACAAAAAAAAGGUCCAAGACACUUGAGGAUGAAGAAAAAACGUGUAUGCUUCAUUAAGGAGCCAUAAGAAGCAUUAAUGAGCCAUCAGAAGCAUUAAAGUGUAACCCUAAUGCACCAAAGAGUGAUAAAAACGGCUAGGAGGCUUUAUGAAGCAAAAAGUAACGUUUGUAGCACUUAUGAAUCCUUAAAAAUGUUGCCCUAGCCUUCAUGCAACCCUAAUUCAAUUUGUGGGUUACCAUGCAUAACCCAACCAUUGAGCCCAAGCCACCUUCUAGCCCACUAGUAAUCACUAAUCCAUCACCUUUUGGGCUUUCAUAAUCCAUGCAUGGAUCAUCCCCUCCCCCUUUGAAAGGAAUUGACCUCAAUUCAUCAAGUCCAUCAUCAUCAAGAUAAGGUGAAAGCUCUCCCACAUUAAAGGUAGCAUGCAUUCCAUGGUCUCCUCCCAAAUCCACCUUGUAACCAUUAUCAUUUUCAGAAUUUGUCACUUCCACACAUGUAUCAUUCCCUCCUUCUUCGAAAGGAAUUGUCCUCAAUUCGGUAAGAACCAAAUUGUGUUGUUCUCCCAUGCAAACCUUCCAUGACAACAGGUCUUGAAAACAAUUUUUUAUUGCAGAAUGUGACAUUUUAUUUACUCCAAGCUGGUUUCUUCUCCAAAUACACAUGUUCUUCAAACAACUCAAAGAACUCAUAGAAUUGAAUCCUAACCGUAUCUUCAAUUUGUGGAUCAAAAACCAUUUUCGUACCUUCCCAUGAACUCGACCCUGCAAAUUAACCUUGCAAUAAUUUAAAUGGUUAAUUGCAGUCAUUUUAACAAAUGGAACAUCAUUUGUAUUUGUAAGUUGAUGAGCAGCACGCCCCAAUAUCACGACUUCCCAAUUAAAGAGACACCAAAAGAAUAUCAGUCCAAACAUCACGAGCUCCCUCCUAUGUAAAUAAUUAGGACUUGUAUCUUCAUAUUUUCUCUUAGAAAGAUGGUUUGUAAAAAGAUGGAUACCAUCCUUCUUCUUUCGUUCCCAAUAAACUUCACGCCAUCGGUCUUGGUGUUUUUGAACAAUGAAUGAAGAAUUAACGAAAAUAUGUUUUGUUUGUGGACAACAUAGAAAAUUGGCAUAAGAAUUGCCACACAAUGCCUCUUUUGGUGACUGAUUGCUACCA